GGAAAACACUUCUAAGGAAUAGUGGGUUUAACUCCUUGACCAUGGUCACCGCUUCAUCUGGAUCCUUCCAAAGAUCGACUUCCUUCCAUCCUUCCUUAUCGCCUUUCAAUCCACCGCCUCAUGCUCUCUCCAUCUGAUCAUGAUGACGCAACCCGAACGAAAUAGAAGAAGAUUUUGGUAAAGGGUGGUCGAGACACCCCCAACGCAUACGACACACCCCUAACGCGGUACCAUGGACCUCCGUUCACCGCCACGUACCACCAUCGUCGUCGAAUUCGGACGAUCAGUCGAUCUUCGACCGCUGCCUUCUUUCUUCCUUCACAGUUCCCGGAAUAGCCCUAAAGUGAUGGAAUAGCCCUAAAGUGAUGUCUACAUGUUAUAUUCGUUCUUCAUCAGCAAAGGAAAUCAGUCUAUUCGCAGAGUUCUCAAGAGGGCAACAGGCGACUGAAUGCUUCAAAUCGAAAUCCCUUCGUGGAACGAAACCCUACGAAGCGUUGUGAUUAUGGAGACAGAGGAGGAAGCAUCUGGACAGAUGACGGACGAGAUCUACACGAAUGGCGUUGACGAUGAGUCGCUGUCGCAGAAGCAACAACGUAGACUGAUUAUCAGUGGCGAGCAACUCGAUAUCGACGCUUACGCCGCUUUAUACACAGGUCGUACUAAAAUUUCGCGCUUGAUAUUCAUCGCUGAAAAAUGUGGCAAUGUUUCGAUGCAGUUAGAGGCGCUUCGAAUGGCUUAUGACGACAUUAAGAAGGGAGAAAACACACAGAUGUUUAGGGAAGUUGUUCAGAAAAAUCGAUGGACGAUUGGGUCCGAAUUACAGUUCGGAUUCGGGUUAGAUGGACGCGGUGGACCGUAGGGCUGACCAGAAGAAGGAGAAACCUAAGAACGAGCUUAAUGCUUACAGGGGUUUUGGUACCUUUCAGGUAGCGUUUCUAGGUGUGUUGGUGCUAUCUUAAUCCUCUAUAAAGGAAUAAAAAAAAGGGUAUUACUGAUCUGUAUCCUAGAAGAAGUAAUAUUGGGUGAUGGAAUUGCAAGAGAAGUGCACCUUACAAUAAAGUGGUGUGUAUUAUUUAUUGUGUCUUAAAAAUGUUUUCCAAAAUAGAAGAUACCGGUAAUUCUUAGUGUUAUUCAUACUUUAUUGAUGGAUACCAUUUAUUUGAACGGUAGAAAAAGGUGUGAAGUUUAUAGAUUGGCUAUAAGUUUUAUUUCGGGAGGGUGUUUUUUUAGAUUUAUGAUAUCAUACUAAAAAUUUUAUCUGUCAUUCAUUGUAAAACUUUUAUCUGCCAUUCAUUGUGCUACAUCAAUCAUUUUUUAAAGAUACGUGUAAGAAUUACUUUCAGAUAAAUUAACUACAAAAAUAAAAGACAAGAAACACAACAUACUUGAUAGUUCUUCCCAAUUUAGUUCACUGUUAUAAAAUAUUGUAAAAAAAAUCUAUUAAGUCUAUUUUUUGUAGUAAUAUGAAGAUGCAUAUUGUAGUUAAAAAAGCUCAUCUUGGACCUGUAAUAGCACUUGCAUUUUCAAAUGAUUAAAGGUUUGUUUAUGUUCUCUAUUUGUUUAUUUAUUUAACUAUUUAUUUAUUUAUUAUUAGUGUUUUUUUUAAAAUUAUAUAAUUUUUUUUUAUAUAAAUAUACAAGGCUUUGGCUUCUGUAUCUCUCACAUGUUAUAAAUCUAACUCAUAGGGCUUCUGGAUUCCCCCGACAAGUCGUUCAUGGUUUUGCUGCUUUACAUGAACACCAAUGUUAUCUCCAAACCGGAUAUCACGAUUACAAAGCCACAAAAACGCAUCUGUUCUCCCAUAUGGUAAAUGCUCUCGCCCGUCUGUUUACCAUUUCUUCUACAUUUGCAGGUUGUUCUACCGGGAAAAUAGAGACAACAACGGUCUGUUCCUCCGAUUCAGCUCUUGCCAACGAUUCAUCCAGUAAAUUGGUUAGACUUUUAAUGGUUGGUUCCAUGUGAUGUUCAUGUGGCUUUUUCGCCUUCAGUCGGUAGUAAAUGGUGAUUGUGGAUUGAUUGAGUUUCAAGUAUGGUUAUUGAGUUUUGGGUAAAUAAACACAACGAUGGGACCAUUUGUUUGUGCAAAGUCUAAUUUAGGGUAAUCUUAUCAACAACCAAUUCAGUUUUUUUUGUUUCUUAAAUUCUUUUUAUUGAUUUGAUUAUUAUGUUUUAAGGGUUUUUGCUAUGAGCUUGACUUUGAUGCACGAAUAAUUCAACUAUUUUUUAAGAAACAAGGCUUUAAUGCAGCGUAUGUCCUAUGUCGUGUGAUUUCCGUAACUGAAGAUGUGCCGUACAGAAUCCAAUUGAUUCAAGGCAACUUUUAAAGGCACAAUAAGCUAUUAAAUUGAUCUCCUACACUAAUUGAAUCAAAGCCUUGAUAAAUGGCAGUGGAGCAAAACCAUAUUUCUGUUUCACUUUUGUUUGUAAAUCUAUUUUCUUUAUAUUUAAAAAAAUAUUUUUAUAACUUUUGUUUUUGCAUUUAGAUGACAUUUUUCAUUGUUAAUGAAAUCGAAGAAGACAGUGGAGGGAUGGGGUAAGUAUGAAGAUGUUCUUUCUAUAUUUAUUGUAGAUUGCAUUGUACUUUCAUUUAAAACUACCUGGAAAUAAGAUUGUAUUUUUAUUGUUUUCAAAAACCUAUUCAAAUAUAGCAUUGUACUUCUUUUGGUAGACGGAAAAUUACACUUCCAUUUAAAAUCUAUCAUUACAUUUCCAUUCA